AACCAGCACCUCAAGUGGUCAGGAUGAUUAUUGGGCCUAAAGCAUCCGUAGCCGGCUCUGUAAGUUUUCGGUUAAAUCUGUACGCUCAACGUACAGGCUGCCGGGAAUACUGCAGAGCUAGGGAGUGGGAGAGGUARACGGUACUCGGUAGGAAGGGGUAAAAUCCUUUGAUCUAUUGAUGACCACCUGUGGCGAAGGCGGUCUACCAGAACACGUCCGACGGUGAGGGAUGAAAGCUGGGGGAGCAAACCGGAUUAGAUACCCGGGUAGUCCCAGCUGUAAACUAUGCAAACUCAGUGAUGCAUUGACUUGUGGUCAAUGCAGUGCUGCAGGGAAGCCGUUAAGUUUGCCGCCUGGGAAGUACGUACGCAAGUAUGAAACUUAA
rnacentral:rRNA from 1 species